UCUUCCCUCUUUCUUCGUGCCUAAUACAUGCAAGUCGAGCGAACGGACGAGAAGCUUGCUUCUCUGAUGUUAGCGGCGGACGGGUGAGUAACACGUGGAUAACCUACCUAUAAGACUGGGAUAACUUCGGGAAACCGGAGCUAAUACCGGAUAAUAUUUUGAACCGCACGGUUCAAAAGUGAAAGACGGUCUUGCUGUCACUUAUAGAUGGAUCCGCGCUGCAUUAGCUAGUUGGUAAGGUAACGGCUUACCAAGGCAACGAUGCAUAGCCGACCUGAGAGGGUGAUCGGCCACACUGGAACUGAGACACGGUCCAGACUCCUACGGGAGGCAGCAGUAGGGAAUCUUCCGCAAUGGGCGAAAGCCUGACGGAGCAACGCCGCGUGAGUGAUGAAGGUCUUCGGAUCGUAAAACUCUGUUAUUAGGGAAGAACAUAUGUGUAAGUAACUGUGCACAUCUUGACGGUACCUAAUCAGAAAGCCACGGCUAACUACGUG
rnacentral:rRNA from 1 species